GCCUUCGUGGUGUAACGUAGCACACUCGGCCCGUAUUCGAGUGAGGUCCAGGUUCGACUCCUGGCGAAGGCA
rnacentral:tRNA from 1 species